GAUGAAGAACGCAGCAAAAUGCGAUACUUGGUGUGAAUUGCAGAAUCCCGUGAACCAUCGAGUUUUUGAACGCAAGUUGCGCCCGAAGCCUUUUGGCCGAGGGCACGUCUGCCUGGGCGUCACGUAUCGCGUCGCCCCCCACAAUUCUCCGUAAAGGGAACAUGUGUUUUGGGGGCGGAUAUUGGUCUCCCGUGCUCAUGGCGUGGUUGGCCGAAAUAGGAGUCCUUUCGAUGGACGCACGAACUAGUGGUGGUCGUAAAAACCCUCGUCUUUUGUUUCGUGCUGUUGGUCGCAAGGUAAACUCUUUAAAAACCCCAAUGUGUCGUCUCUUGACGACGCUUCGACCGCGACCCCAGGUCAGGCGGGACUACCCGCUGAGUUUAAGCAUAUCAAUAAGCGGAGGA
rnacentral:misc_RNA from 1 species